GCGGACGGGUGAGUAACGCGUGGGUAACCUGCCCUGUACACGCGGAUAACAUACCGAAAGGUAUGCUAAUACGAGAUAAAAUACUUUUAUCGCAUGGUAGAAGUAUCAAAGCUUUUGCGGUACAGGAUGGACCCGCGUCUGAUUAGCUAGUUGGUAAGGUAACGGCUUACCAAGGCGACGAUCAGUAGCCGACCUGAGAGGGUGAUCGGCCACAUUGGAACUGAGACACGGUCCAAACUCCUACGGGAGGCAGCAGUGGGGAAUAUUGCACAAUGGGCGAAAGCCUGAUGCAGCAACGCCGCGUGAGCGAUGAAGGCCUUCGGGUCGUAAAGCUCUGUCCUCAAGGAAGAUAAUGACGGUACUUGAGGAGGAAGCCCCGGCUAACUACGUGCCAGCAGCCGCGGUAAUACGUAGGGGGCUAGCGUUAUCCGGAAUUACUGGGCGUAAAGGGUGCGUAGGUGGUUUCUUAAGUCAGAGGUGAAAGGCUACGGCUCAACCGUAGUAAGCCUUUGAAACUGGGAAACUUGAGUGCAGGAGAGGAGAGUGGAAUUCCUAGUGUAGCGGUGAAAUGCGUAGAUAUUAGGAGGAACACCAGUUGCGAAGGCGGCUCUCUGGACUGUAACUGACACUGAGGCACGAAAGCGUGGGGAGCAAACAGGAUUAGAUACCCUGGUAGUCCACGCCGUAAACGAUGAGUACUAGCUGUCGGAGGUUACCCCCUUCGGUGGCGCAGCUAACGCAUUAAGUACUCCGCCUGGGAAGUA
rnacentral:rRNA from 1 species